GUUUCAGCCAAAGUAGGAAAGACUCUUAAAACUGAGAAGGAAAUGAAAUGACAUAUUGUACCUUCUUGUAGGAAGCAGAGACACCCAACAGUCAUCUCUUCACAGCAUGGAAUCAUGGGUGAUUUCAAAAGAAGAACUGCAGAAUGCACUGAUAUUUGAAACAAAAAAUAAGUGUGUUUGUACAAAAGUAUGAGAAGGUGAAAACUGAGGGGAACAAAUAUCCUGGAGUUCUUCAUGAUAUCAGUAUCAGCUACAUACACACACAUUGCUAAAUUCUGACUACUGGCUAGAGACUGGAAAGGGUAAAGUUGCUGGGAUGUCUGCAUUCACAGCUGAGGAGAUCGAGUGCUUUCUACACACAUCAUCCAAAGCUUCGUUGAGCACAUAGGGAGGUGCAGCCUUUUCAGUGAGAAGCUGACAACAGCCCCAGCCAUACAACAGCAGCAAUCUCCCCACAGAUCUUCAAUUCAGCGCUCAGCAGAAGACCCUUACCAAGAUGAAGAAGACACAAUUCAAAGUUUGCAUUAUUGUAACAGAACUAUGCCCGUUAGAAGAUCCUACAGCAUCACCAGCAAUAGAUUUGGAAAUUAUUACACUCUGAAGAUUAUGAAGACAAAUAGUGAUCCACUUUUGAGAAGGGAAUUCUCUAACUAUGCUUAAAUUAAAUGUUUUCGUCAUAUCUUCCCAUUGCUUUUUCUUUUCUGAAGUUGGAAUGUUCACAAAUGCAAGAGAAAAAAAAAGAUUGCUAGUAUUGAAUCUUCCUUCUGCUGUUUUGUUUUGUUUUUUUUUCCCAAAAGAUCAUUAGCUAUUUGGCACAAGUGCAGGCAUGUGAAUAUAUUUCACAGUAAUAGCUUUUACAAGUCUGAUGAUACAUUUCAGAAGAGAGAGCUUUUCUAUUAACUGCAAUAGCUCUUGUUAGCAACUUGAGCGAAGUGAGGAUGGUAUUAAAAAUUAUAAUCAAUGACUCAGGAGAGAGCUACAAAUUACUUUGCCACAUUACAGGAAAAUGAAGAUUCCCCCAAACUUCUGUAUAGCAGAUGCAUAAAUAGGCAAUGUUGUAUAAUAUAGAAGGAUAACAACCGACUAUCAAUUUGGCAAAGCGAUCCCACCAAAUAGGAGUAAUCAGAAAUAUAUGACAGGA
rnacentral:lncRNA from 1 species